rnacentral:rRNA from 1 species
CACAUGCAAGUCGAACGGUAGCACAGAAGAGCUUGCUCUUCGGGUGACGAGUGGCGGACGGGUGAGUAAUGUCUGGGGAUCUGCCCGAUGGAGGGGGAUAACCACUGGAAACGGUGGCUAAUACCGCAUAACGUCGCAAGACCAAAGUGGGGGACCUUCGGGCCUCACACCAUCGGAUGAACCCAGAUGGGAUUAGCUAGUAGGUGGGGUAACGGCUCACCUAGGCGACGAUCCCUAGCUGGUCUGAGAGGAUGACCAGCCACACUGGAACUGAGACACGGUCCAGACUCCUACGGGAGGCAGCAGUGGGGAAUAUUGCACAAUGGGCGCAAGCCUGAUGCAGCCAUGCCGCGUGUAUGAAGAAGGCCUUCGGGUUGUAAAGUACUUUCAGCGGGGAGGAAGGGGAUGAGGUUAAUAACCUCGUUCAUUGACGUUACCCGCAGAAGAAGCACCGGCUAACUCCGUGCCAGCAGCCGCGGUAAUACGGAGGGUGCAAGCGUUAAUCGGAAUUACUGGGCGUAAAGCGCACGCAGGCGGUCUGUUAAGUCAGAUGUGAAAUCCCCGGGCUUAACCUGGGAACUGCAUUGAAAC